GGAACUGCCUGAUGGAGGGGGAUAACUACUGGAAACGGUAGCUAAUACCGCAUAACGUCGCAAGACCAAAGAGGGGGACCUUGGGCCUCUUGCCAUCGGAUGUGCCCAGAUGGGAUUAGCUAGUAGGUGGGGUAAUGGCUCACCUAGGCGACGAUCCCUAGCUGGUCUGAGAGGAUGACCAGCCACACUGGAACUGAGACACGGUCCAG
rnacentral:rRNA from 1 species